UGGUGACAGCCGGAGACAGAGUUCACGUGCCGGGCCGCUGCAGCUACUUAUCCAAGGGGGUCGGCGGAGGCCUGAGUCGGAGGGAACAGCCAUGCUGCUCGGAGCGCCGCUAAUAAAGACAGAAGGUCACACACGGAUAUAUAAACAAAACAGCCCAAUUGCAAGCCAGAUGAGAAAGGACUACUUCUGCCACAGAGACGGGAAACGUGAGUCCUUUACCUCUCCUCGUUGUUUUCUACAUGGAAGGUCCGCUCGAUAACAGUGGUCCACUGCAGGCACCGAAUGACAAACGUAUUGGGCUUGGGGCGCUCCGU